CAGCAGCCGCGGGAAUACGAAGGGGGCUAGCGUUGUUCGGAAUUACUGGGCGUAAAGCGCUCGUAGGCGGAUAUUUAAGUCAGGGGUGAAAUCCCAGAGCUCAACUCUGGAACUGCCUUUGAUACUGGGUAUCUUGAGUAUGGAAGAGGUGAGUGGAAUUCCGAGUGUAGAGGUGAAAUUCGUAGAUAUUCGGAGGUACACUAGUGGCGAAGGCGGCUCACUGGUCCAUUACUGACGCUGAGGUGCGAAAGCGUGGGGAGCAAACAGGAUUAGAUACCCCCGUAGUCCCUGUCUCUUAUAC
rnacentral:rRNA from 1 species